CACGUAGGGCGCGAGCGUUGUCCGGAAUUAUUGGGCGUAAAGAGCUCGUAGGCGGCCUGUUGCGUCCGCUGUGAAAGCCCGGGGCUUAACCCCGGGUCGGCAGUGGAUACGGGCAGGCUAGAGGUAGGUAGGGGAGAAUGGAAUUCCCGGUGUAGCGGUGAAAUGCGCAGAUAUCGGGAGGAACACCGUUGGCGAAGGCGGUUCUCUGGGCCUUACCUGACGCUGAGGAGCGAAAGCGUGGGGAGCGAACAGG
rnacentral:rRNA from 1 species